AGUUCUGAGGAGCGAAAGUCAUUGGAGAGAAGACGGGAAUAGAAUUAAAUCGCUACACAUCGCUGGAAUAAUUAAGCGGCACUUUAUCCCCGCACAUGUAGCGUGCCCCUCUUGAACUCAACAGCAACUCAUCUGAGAUCCCUGGAGCUGGCUUGCCCAGAAAGAGCUGAACUGAUAUCUGAAGAUUGAAAGCAAUAUUCAUCACUUUAUAUAUACAUAUAUUUAUAUAUAUAAAAGAAAACUAAGACGAUACUGCUGUGUAUCUAGUACUGCUCUGAAGAAUAACUCUGAGUGUGAAUACAUUUUGGAAAAAAAAAAACAGAUUGCAGAACAAUGGAUGGUCCAGACAAGAAAACGAGGUCUACUGGGGCGUUUUCCUGCCGCAUCGCUUCUGGCGGGUGUAAAUGCGAGUCCGUUCUCGCCUGUCGCUGGAUCUUUGAGAGAAACAGAGCGAUCCGCCGAAGGACCCUGCGGCGCGGGAGCCAGAGCUUGCAAUCCUUCAGAACCAAGCAUGCAAGAUUCACACCGUGGAACUAAGCAGUACUUUUAAAUAGAACUGCGAAUUUCUGUCGCCCAGGAAGAGCCGCUCACCGCGCGCUAGGGGCUUGCCCGUGGGAUCUUUGUUUUGCACCGGAGACUCCUCUCACCGCCUGGCUCCGGGCGAGCCUCUCCCUCAGGAGCAGCAGCAAUAUUUAGACAACGCAGAAAGACCACAGAAAGAGACAGUCACGACAAGAAACGACUGUUGUGGCUUCCACGGUGCUGAGAACCACAUGGCUUGCAAGUAAGGUUUUGGAAGUGAGCAGGAUCACCAGCUGCCUCUGACACAGAAACUAAAGAAAUGGGCAAUAUAUAAAAGAUUUAGUAUGCAGCUGGUAGCUUACCUUCUUGAGGAGAAUGACUGAGAUGUCUGUUUGGAAUUAUUCCUGGAAUUAGACCAGCAUGAGGUCUCCUCUGCCAAUCUAAGUAAAAAUGGAGUUUAGAACUGACUCUCGACACUAGAUGCACAUUUGGCAGGAGGCCAAGGCGAAUCAGAAUAAACAACCAGAAGAAAAUGCCAAAUACAAGAAAAUAACAGCAACUUAAUAUGAUUUAAUACCAAUAAAGUGGUUAAGUUCUCUGCAGAAUGUGGAAGGAGUAGAACUUAGAUGGAAAAAGCUAGGAGAUGAAAUGCCCUCACCAUUCUGCCUAAAAGCAUUUAAGAUGAAUUACUGAGAAACGCAUGUGCAGUUUUGAAUGCUUUGGAAAUGAAAGAUGAUAACAACAAAAAGAAAUCUUGGCCUUAUUUAUCUACAUCAUGAAAUAUUUUUAAGGCAGUAGUUGUUAAUAAACUGUCUAGUGACAGCUGAACUUCACUGAAAUGUGAAGUUCACACUGCUUUUGGGGCAAGGA